GCAACAGAGCAACUUACAAGGGCGGGAUCCGGCUCAUGGCGAAAGUCCAGAAACACAUUCCGUUGGCUGUCAGGUUUGGAAGGGUCAUGGAAUCGUCAGUCAAGGCCAUGUCAUUUGCUGAUCGAAUUGACCAGCCUCAGUCCUUUGUCGAUAGAAUCAUUUGCCGAUAGAAUCAAUCCGCCCCAGUUUUUUCGUCUGUCCGCCUGGUGAGCCCGACUCACUCGCUGAUGGGGAAGAAGAGUUGCCUGAGCCUCUGGGAGAGGAUCUCCUGCUGUCCGACAAACAGUGCGACGAGUUAACAAAGACUCGAGUGGAAAUGUUCCCGGAUUCGUCGUACGUGUCCCCAUCCCGCCCCAAUAUUGAUACCACCGCCCCAAUCCCCAGCUUCUAUUCAACCGAAUAUUCCAGGCUGGUUGAAUUCCAGCAAAGAAGCGAGGCCACUAUACGUCGAAGAUCAAGGGAGCCUACGAGUCAUUGAAAAUCAAGCUAGAGUCACGGAAAAUCAAGCUAGAGUCCACGAACCUCCAUCAGCAAUACCUACUUCAACACACGGCCCGUUGAAAAGCCAAUCAACACCCCAGAGAUGCCCUACACCGCGGAGGAGAGGGAGGUGAUUGUGAGCGACGCCAAUCUUUGUCCUGAACGCUACCGUUUCCAAAUUGGAAUCUGGAAGUCGUUUUCUGACAUGUUUCUCAACUACCGAACUGCCGAGGAAUACAGAUCCUGGUAUCACCGAAAUUCUCCUCUACCUGGGGUAAAGACCGCUCGCCAGUACUCGCUCAAAAUGGCCGCAAUGCUGAUGGACUACAUCAAGGCCGAGUAUGAAAAGAACCCCAGCAAAAAAAUGCCAGGCAACUGAGACUUGCAACAGAAGAGGGACUGCAGCUGGUUGAGACUCGGAACGCCGAGGAUAGGGAAAGAGUGAGCAGGAAAGCAGAGCGUGAUAGAUUGUAAAUUGGGAGAACAGGUUUGAAUCUUUGAGAGGAUAGGGAAGGGGGUGAUAGGCGAUAUGGAUGAUACGGAUAGAAAGAUACGGCGAUGUGGAAGAACGGAGACAAAAAAGAACAGCGACAAAAAAGAACAGCGACAAGAAGAUACAGCAACCAGAAGGUACAGCAACAAGAAGAUACAGUACAUUUACCAGCUACAAGUACACACCGUACCAAUUACCCGACGCUAUCUUAUUGAAUAACGAACCUGGACGGUGAUUACUGUAGUUCACACAGAGCCAUAACCCUAUGAGUAUUUGAUCUCGCGUUGAUCACGUCUCAACACGGCUGCACUGCAACAACCUGUCACACUGUAUGUACAGCUUGUAUGUACAGCUUCUGGGGCAUCAUCAGACUACUGACGACCAAGUGAGCUACGUGCGCCAUCGGUAUUGAACAAGCAUUGAACUCGCCUUUUUGUAUGGCUGUGGCGGAAAAUAAAAAAAAAAUCGCUUUUCAACUGCAAUGGCUGCCUGUUUACGCUGUUGUGAAUCUGCACCGCCUCUCACUCCUCCAGUCUCUUCCUCUUAACAAAAUCCCAAUAACUUUAAUCUCUUU
rnacentral:misc_RNA from 1 species